UACGUGCGGGGCGAACGUUGUUCGGUGUCACUGGGCUUAAAGGGUGCGUAGGUGGUUGCGUAAGUCAGGUGUGAAAUCCCUCGGCUUACCCGGGGAAUUGCAUUUUAUACUGCGUGGCUUGAGGACUAAAGGGGAAAAGGGAACUCCAGGUGUAGCGGUGAAAUGCGCAGAUAUCUGGGGGAAGGCCGGCGGCGAAGGCGCUUUUCUGGUUAGAUCCUGACACUGAGGCACGAAAGCGUGGGGAGCAAACAGG
rnacentral:rRNA from 1 species